AACGAACGCUGGCGGCAGGCCUAACACAUGCAAGUCGAGCGGCCGUAGCAAUACGGCAGCGGCAGACGGGAGAGUAACACGUGGGAACGCGCCCUUCGGUUCGGGAUAACUCAGGGAAACUUGGGCUAAUACCGGAUACGCCCUUAUGGGGAAAGAUUUAUUGCCGAAGGAACGGCCCGCGUCCGAUUAGCUUGUGGGUGAGGUAACGGCUCACCAAGGCGACGAUCGGUAGCUGGUCUGAGAGGAUGACCAGCCUCACUGGGACUGAGACACGGCCCAGACUCCUACGGGAGGCAGCAGUGGGGAAUAUUGGACAAUGGGCGCAAGCCUGAUCCAGCCAUGCCGCGUGGGUGAUGAAGGCCCUAGGGUUGUAAAGCCCUUUCAGCGGGGAAGAUGAUGACGGUACCCGCAGAAGAAGCCCCGGCUAACUUCGUGCCAGCCGCCGCGGUAA
rnacentral:rRNA from 1 species